UACGAAGGGGGCUAGCGUUGCUCGGAAUCACUGGGCGUAAAGCGCACGUAGGCGGCUUUUUAAGUCAGGGGUGAAAUCCUGGAGCUCAACUCCAGAACUGCCUUUGAUACUGAGAAGCUUGAGUCCGGGAGAGGUGAGUGGAACUGCGAGUGUAGAGGUGAAAAUUCGUAGAUAUUCGCAAGAACACCAGUGGCGAAGGCGGCUCACUGGCCCGGUACUGACGCUGAGGUGCGAAAGCGUGGGGAGCAACAGGG
rnacentral:rRNA from 1 species